rnacentral:rRNA from 10 species
UGUUGACCUCGGAUCAGGUAGGAAUACCCGCUGAACUUAAGCAU